rnacentral:lncRNA from 1 species
UAGAUCCAUCAUCAUUCAAAGAGGUUAGGAAAAUAUUUUUGCAUUUUUUGAAUAUCAAAAACUAUUUAAAAUGAAUUAAAAAUAACCAGAAAAGAGAAAAUUCACAAAAAAUAUCAAAUGACAAAAUAAAAAAUAUUAAAAAAUCAGAAAUUAGAAACUAGAAUUUAUUUGGGAAAUAAUGCAAUUGGUCCCAUAUUUUUUGGAUAAAAAAUGAAAGAGAUAUUAAUUUUUGAAAAUAAUUGGAAUUAAA